UACGUAGGUCCCGAGCGUUGUCCGGAUUUAUUGGGCGUAAAGCGAGCGCAGGUGGUUUAUUAAGUCUGGUGUAAAAGGCAGUGGCUCAACCAUUGUAUGCAUUGGAAACUGGUAGACUUGAGUGCAGGAGAGGAGAGUGGAAUUCCAUGUGUAGCGGUGAAAUGCGUAGAUAUAUGGAGGAACACCGGUGGCGAAAGCGGCUCUCUGGCCUGUAACUGACACUGAGGCUCGAAAGCGUGGAGGGCAAACAGG
rnacentral:rRNA from 1 species